rnacentral:rRNA from 1 species
AAUAGAUACCCAGGUAGUCCACGCCGUAAACGAUGAGUGCUAAGUGUUAGAGGGUUUCCGCCCUUUAGUGCUGCAGCUAACGCAUUAAGCACUCCGCCUGGGGAGUACGGCCGCAAGGCUGAAACUCAAAGGAAUUGACGGGGGCCCGCACAAGCGGUGGAGCAUGUGGUUUAAUUCGAAGCAACGCGAAGAACCUUACCAGGUCUUGACAUCCUCUGCCAACCCUAGAGAUAGGGCGUUCCCCUUCGGGGGACAGAGUGACAGGUGGUGCAUGGUUGUCGUCAGCUCGUGUCGUGAGAUGUUGGGUUAAGUCCCGCAACGAGCGCAACCCUUGAUCUUAGUUGCCAGCAUUCAGUUGGGCACUCUAAGGUGACUGCCGGUGACAAACCGGAGGAAGGUGGGGAUGACGUCAAAUCAUCAUGCCCCUUAUGACCUGGGCUACACACGUGCUACAAUGGAUGGUACAAAGAGCUGCGAACCCGCGAGGUAAGCGAAUCUCAUAAAGCCAUUCUCAGUUCGGAUUGU